GAUGAAGAACGUAGCGAAAUGCGAUAAGUAAUGUGAAUUGCAGAAUUCAGUGAAUCAUCGAAUCUUUGAAAGCACAUUGCGCCCGCCAGUAUUCUGGCGGGCAUGCCUGUUCGAGCGUCAUUUCAACCAUCAAGCCCCCGGCUUGUGUUGGGGACCUGCGGCUGCCGCAGGCCCUGAAAAGCAGUGGCGGGCUCGCUGUCACACCGAGCGUAGUAGCAUACAUCUCGCUCUGGGCGUGCUGCGGGUUCCGGCCGUUAAACCACCUUCAUAACCCAAGGUUGACCUCGGAUCAGGUAGGAAGACCCGCUGAACUUAAGCAUAUCAAUAAGCGGAGGA
rnacentral:misc_RNA from 1 species